CCAAACUUGGUCAUUUAGAGGAAGUAAAAGUCGUAACAAGGUUUCCGUAGGUGAACCUGCGGAAGGAUCAUUAUUGAAUAAACUUGGUGAGUUGUAGCUGGCUCCUUGGAGCAUGUGCACACUCAUCAUCUUUAUAUCUAUCCACCUGUGCACAUUUUGUAGUCUUAAAGAGUUAAGGAGUGUGUGUAUGUAGCAGAACUUGUUCUGUGAUCAUCAUCAUUGCUCUCUCUUUGAGUCUAUGUGUUUUCAUAUACCACGUAGUCUGUCGCAGAAUGUAUUUGAAUGGGCCUAUGUGCCUAUACAAAAAACUAUAUACAACUUUCAGCAACGGAUCUCUUGGCUCUCGCAUCGAUGAAGAACGCAGC
rnacentral:misc_RNA from 1 species